CAAGAGAAAUUUCCGGCUUCCUUUUCCGCAGCCUGCCACCCAAUUUGAAAUGAGCCGGGAACCUCACCGGGGCCAAUGAUCUGGGCAGGAGGCGUCUGCUUUCGCUUUUGGCGCGCCUUACAAACGCCGGCCUGGCUUGCCUUCCUGCUCUUCUUUCUCCUCCUGCUUCUUCGGGGCUUUGGACGGUCUCAAUCCCCCCUGUGAUGCCCGAGGAUGGAUGGACAGACGGAUGGACAGCUAGCUUGGAUAGACCCAGCUGAGGCAUUCCCUGGCCUGGAGCAGUGCUGGAAGCUCUCAAGAACAUGGUGCCAGAUGAUUCAAGGACCAGCAUUAGGCCAGAUCCAUAUUUACCUACUCGUAUUAAAGAAGAUUUAUUAAAGUUGGAGAUUAAAUUUUCUACAUAACCACAUUCACAUUGUACCGAAGGAGGAUCACGCUGAGG